UUACCAGACAUUGUUUCAAUUCAGACCCUUGUUUAAGAGGGGUCUGAAAGCUCGGAUGGUGACUAGGAGAGGUAAUAAGGCUAGAUGCUUCUUACUUUAUGGAUCCAGCGAAAACGUGCCAAGGGAUUUAUCAUCCAAAUAGGUUAGGUUAUACCUUUAGAUAAUAUACUACAUAUUUUAUAAAAUAAUUAAACUUGAACUCGUCAUAAAAGAAAUUAUCUCUUUUUUUUUCUUUGAGAAAUCUUUUAAGAAUGCAAAUGAAAAACUUCUUUUAAUAACUUGGAAUUAGCUUUUCUAUAAACAUGCU